UCGAUCAUAGGACCGCUGCUAUUCAGUAUAUAUCAAUGACAUCUGUUUGCAGUGAUGUUGACAUACUAAUGCUGAUGACGCUGUUUUAUAUACUCAUGGGGAAAAUGCAACGAAGGUCUCUGUUAAACUAACAAAGGAAUUGCAUAAGAUUGCUGAUUGGCUGCACUAUUCCUGUCUUAGGCUACAUUCAGGGAUUCUUCAUGAGGAGGGAAUGAAAUGUAUGUCCAAAACAUGAGUAAGCAGGAAAUCAGAACAGGCCCCAAGAUGUGGCACAGAUGUCACAGUCCAUUUUCUAUAUGCCCCCAGGUACCAACACACUGUGGACCAUCCUUCCAGCUCUGGUAAAGUGGAGACAUUCUCCUUUGGUACAAGCUUUUAAGCCCGUACCAUCACACUGGUGUUACGGAAAUGUUGGAAAUUGAACGUUCUAAAGAAUAUCUGGGUUCAUUCAGAGCCCUAGAGAGUAGAGAGAGAACUUCCCGACCUCAAAUGUUGUGGGCGGGACUAAGUUCGACUGGCACCCAGGCUAGGAAGGGAGAGGAAUUGCA